rnacentral:snRNA from 1 species
AACAGAACCAAUGAGGUUUAUCAUAGCCAAUGAGGUUUAUCCGAGGCACGAUUAUUGCUAAUUGAAAACUUUUCCCAAUAACCGCCAUGAUGACUUGCAAUAUAGUCAGCAUUGGCAAUUUUUGACAGUCCCUAUGGGGA